UUUGCCUAAAUCUCAUUAUAGUUUGUGAAGAUAGAAAAUAAAGACCCAGUGAUAAUCCCACAAAUGAACUAGAUCAGCUGGUCCCAAGUGUCUACUGGAUAACGGUGCUGACCUGGUGGAUGAAAGGUGUUGUAUUAGUCCUUUCUCACACUGCUCUCAAGAAAUGCCCCAAACUGGGUAAUUGAUAAAGAAAAGAGGUUUAAUUGGCUCACAGUUCCUCAGGUUGUAUGGGAAGCAUGGCUGGGGAGGCCUCAGGAAACUUACAAUCAUGGCAGAAGGCAAAGGGGAAGCAGGCAAGUCCUACAUGGCUGGAGCAGGAGGAAGAGAGUGAAGGCAAGGGAGGGUGCUACACACUUUUAAACUACCAGCUUAUCUGAGAACUCACUAUCACAAGAACAGCAAGGAAAAAUGUGCCCCUGUGUUUCAAUCACCUCCCACCAGGCCCCUCUUCCAACAUUAGGGAUUACAAUUUGACAUGAGAUUUGGGCGGGAACAUUAAUACUUAAUGUAGCAGACAGAAAUUGUAACUUAGUGUAUCUCAAUGAUACUACUCAGUAAUUGAAAAUAAGAAGUUCGAACUAAGUGAUCCAUCUCCGAGGGAGCUGGAGGGUGUGGUCCUGCAGGGAUCAAUUGAGUUUUCUGCUCCCUUGAACACAUUUGUUCUCGUUGAUUUUUGUUGAAGGUGCUCUCAAUCAACAUGUCAUUUGCCUUCAAUUCAGACUCAAAUAUUCCCCUUAGGUGGCUUUAAUUUGUGAGUUCAUUAUUUACUGUGGAGCUUUAGAAAACAGAAAUGCCUUGAUAUUCAGCUAUCUUUCUUCAAAUAUUUCUGUGACACAUUAAGCACCAAAAUGGCAUUAAUUGAACAGAAUUCUAUAUAUAUAAGUCAUUUGAUCAGCAAGCAGCUUCCCAGAAGUUGUUGCUGUCAUAUCUGUCAUAUAUAUUUAUUCCAAGAAGAGCUCCUGCUAUUAUAAAAAUUAUGUAAAAGUAAACAAGAAAACUGAGAUAAAGGAGAAAUACAGAAGAAAAAUGAACGUUACUAGGGAGAAAGUUAGUGCCCCAUAUAUCUGUCUAAAGGAUCAUGUGUUCUUCACUGGAAUUGGGUAAAACAUUGAUGCUGAGGUUGCAGUAAUCUUGUUUCUCCAGCUCUGUUGAGGUAUAAUUGAAAAAUAAAAGUUGUAUAUAUUUAAGGUUUUGACCAUAAUAGGUGGUCAGUAUUUCCCUUAGCCUGAUUCAAGAUUUGCACUCAAGUCAGCUUGUCUUUAUUUUCAGUGAAAAUUCACUCUUGCCUUGGCAAAGAAGAAAUGUGAUUUAGGUACCCAGCACAAAACAAUAAUAUGAAUCAAGGAAGUUGGAUCUGUGAGAAAACAAAACUUUUCAGUGAAAGCAUGUGGAUAUUCACGUUGACAAGGCUGGCUGUGAUCUGGUUGGCUUUGUGACCAGGGCUGCGGACCCCUUUCUUUGGCCUCAGGCUCCUAACUGUACUCAGGGGCUGAUGUCACCUUUUCCUCUGAUUUCCAUGAGGAAUAUAUGAGAUUGCAUUUGUAAAAUACUUAACUUGGGGCAUGUCACAUGAUAGGAUCCCAUAAACAUUGCUUUUAAAUAAUUAUCCUGAUUGGAAUAUCAGACAUUCUCUACGUUAGAAGAAACAAGUCACUAGUUGCUAAAAGUCAAUGGAAACUUGAGAACUGAAAUAUUUAGAUAUAUUUAUAUUUUAUUUUAGAUUCAGGGUAUUUGGUUGAUGCUUACUACAAGUUUACCUGGGUGUGUGGUUGAACUUGCUCCUUAUGAAAAUAGGAGCAAGAAAGGGAAGAAAAGGAAGGAAAGAGUAGGCCAACCCAAGAGGACCUCCCUUGCUUGUGGGAGGUAGUGUCCAGUGGUCAGCAGAGCAGAAGGACUCCUGGGAGGGGCUGCACCACUGACAUGCUGGCCGUGGGAGCCUUAAGUCACUCUGUGGUUGGGGUUCAUGACUCCAUGAGAUGGGGCCUGUUCUCCUGUUUCAACUCGAGAAACUGGAAGUGGAUCAGUUGCAUGUCCAGGCACUUCUCUGGGGAAGCGUGUGCUUCCCUGAGCAGACCUGGGGUCCACCUUCCUCAAUCUCCCAUCAGCUCCCUUUUACACAAACACAGAGCCAACUCCGUGUCAGUUGUCUGGGGACUGAAAAUUAGGACACAUAUCCUCAUGUCCUAUAACCACAUAACCACCUCCAUGCCAUAGGAACGGGUUAUUGCAGACAUUUGCAUUGAGGUUGGAUAGCUUUUUAAAAUUAAUGCAAAUAUAUAUGGUACUCCUAACACCGAUUUACUGACUACAGAAAUAGAAGGAAAAUAAUAAAUAGUGUUUCUUCUGGUAGACUGUAGUAAGGGGAUUCUCAAUAGAACACCUGUUACUAACCUGGGAACCAAUGAAACCUAAGGGUUAUGGAAAUCUUUUUCAUGGCUAUUUUUUUUUUUUUUAACUAGGGAAAAGCAAGAUUUAAGAUAACACUCUUCCCAGAUGUGAGUAAGCUGAAGAUAAAGCCUUAAAUAUUUUCUUGCCCAACAGGAAAAAAAAUGAUCAGGUGAAUCUUGUCUUUUUCUAUACUAAAGAGAUACUAUUGCUGAAGAAGCAUAUCAGGGCUUAGUGCGGUCCUUGGCACGCUUGUAGGCAUUGCCUAAAUGUUCACUGGGGCUGGAUCACCUGUCUUAUCAGAAAGAAAGCAAAAACAAACAACAGCAUCAACAACAAACCACACAGACAGACAAAAAUGCUUAGAGGCCUCUAAUUCCACUAAUUGAAAAAUAUAGCAGGAGGAAGGGUGUCAGGAGAAUUGCAGAAUGAGGCUCCUGGCUUUACCUCCUCCCAUGGGUGCACUGAAUAAACAUCUACAUGUGGAACAUUUCCUCUGAGAGAAUUCAGAAACUGGCUGAGAUACUCCUAUUAGUAUCUGAGAAAACAUCUGCAUCCAAACACGUAGGAAGAGCUGAGCCAUAUCAGGCACAAGUCCCUCCCCAAGCACUGUGCAAUAUAAUCAAAAAGGAACCCCCAGCUCCCAACAACUCCCUGAGGAGUGAAACGCUUCAACUACAGAUAUGGUGCCCCAGCUUUUAUGGUUCCCCUGGAGGCUUUGUUUCGUAAGUCACCUAGCUCUAAAAGCAAAAGGGACUGGGCGUUUGUGAGCGUUCCUAGACCACAGAGAGCAAAGAGGUGGUUUUAAGUGAGCAUUUGAGGACUUUCAGUGACAACGCACUCCAGAAUUAGUGCAGAGAAGAGACUAAAAUGCACGGCUCCCAUUUUAUUCCUGGGAGGGGCUUGUCUGCACAUACCUGAGAAUCAGGCUUUCACUAGCCUGCAUCUGAGAGUCUACAGGGCAGAUAGACAAUAGGGUGUGAAGGAGCCUGAACAGGAAUGGGUGAACUUUUACAUCAUCUUCCCUGGCUCAUUCUAGUGAUAAAUCCAGAUUCUCCCUGGAAGUUUUUUUUUUUUCACAGAUUGAUUAUCCCAAGUUUUACAGUUCCCACCCGAGGAACUGCCUCCUAAAUUGCCUAGCUUUGGAAGCAAAAGGGACCUGGAAUUCGCAAGUCUCCCUAGAUCACAGAGAAGAAAUGUGUGAGUUUUAAAUAGGUGUGCAAGCAUGUCCAGUGGCUACACUACCUAGCAUCAGAGUGUGUGGUCUGAAUGAGUGUGCAGCCAUUUGCCACAGAUGCUCUCCCAGGCUUAAUGCAGAAUAAGUGAGAGAGAAACUCCAGCUCUCAGCUUCUCCCUGAGGAUCGAAAGUACUGGAGCACACAUCUACCACUCUAGCUUUCCCAGCUGCGUCUUGAGGGACCAGCUUCUAUCCUGCCUAUUGUGGGGCUGAGAGGAUGUUGCACACACUAAUCUCAUAAGGGCCAUUAUGAACAAAGAGAGCAGCUAGACAAGCACAAAGUUUUGAAAGGCACCUAGAAUCUCUGAUCAGGCUGAUGGGUGAGGUCCAUCUUCUACAAAAGGCCAUUCUGACAAGAAUGGGAGAGGUAAUUGUCUUAUCCAAUGCACAGAAACCAACACUGAGAGUUGAGGAAAAUAAAGAGACAGGGAAAUAGGUUCCAAAUAACAAGAUACAUUUUUAGAAACUGACCCUUAUGAAAUGACCUCCAUUUUUAUCACUGUUAUUUCACAUUCUCUAUUGGGUAAAUCACUUAUCUCAGGCGGUUAUGUGGUUAUACGUUAUAGGAGGUGGUUAUGUGGCUAUAGGAUAUGACGAUAUGUGGCCUAAUCACUUAUCUCAAGUGAUUUACCCAACAGAGAAUUUGAAAUAACAGUGAUAAAAAUGCUCACUGGGAUCAGGAGGGCAAUGCAUGCACAAACUGAGAAUUUCAACAAAGAGAAAAUAUUAAAAAGUGCCAAAUAGAAAUCAUAGAGCUAAAAAUACAGCUGAACUAAAAUAUUUAAUAGAGGGCUUCAACAGUAAACAAUAUCAAUCAGAAGAGAGAAUCAGCAAACUUGAAGAGAGUGCAUUGGAAAUCAAUCUGAGGAGAAAAAAAUAAUAAAGAAUAAGAGUGGAGAUAGCUUAAGGGACCUGUGGGACACCAUCAAGUGGUUGCACACGUUACUGGAGUUCAAGAAGGAGAAGAGAACAGGGCAGGAAGCUGAUUCACAAAAAUAAUGGCUGAACACUUCUGAGACAUGGAGAAAGAAAUAGAAACCUCAAUCUGAGAAGUCAAACAGCAAGUCAGAUGAAUACAAAGAGAUCCACACUGAGACACAUUAUAAUCAAAUUGCCAAUAGACAGAAUUUUCAAAGUAGUGAGAAAAAGUGACUUGCUGUGUACAAAGGAACUUUCAUAACACUAUAAGGAGAAACUCUGCAGGCUAGAAGGUAGUGUGAUGAUAUAGUCAGAGUGAUGAAAGAAAAAAAUACCUUCUGAUCAAGAAUAGUAUGCUUAGCAAUUCUGCCAUUCAAAAAUAAAAGAUAAAGACUUUCUCAGAUAAACAAAAGCUAAGGAAGCUUAUCACCACUAGACCUGCCUUGUAAGAAUAGCUUAAGGAGUGGUAUAAAUUAACAUUUUGCAACAUUUUAAUAUUUUUUCUGUUUGGGUGCCAUCUAAUGUGAAGGCAAGGACAAGGUCUAGAGGUUUUGGAACCAGAAAGUCUUGAGUUUCAAAGACGGCAGCAAUGUCAGGUAUGAGCCAGGGACUCUUGUUUUCUCAUCCACAGGAUGGUAAAAUUAACCACUCCAGAGUUUGACAAGAUUGUUUGCUAUGUCCAGUAGGUGGAACUUGAUGGUUGCUUGAAUAAUCUAAGUAAAAUGAGGAUUUCCCAAGGAAAGGAUGGACUUAGACUCUUAUUUACAUACAUAAUAAUGUUUGAGCAAAAUUGUCAAUGCAUGACAAAGGUGUGGUUGUUACCUAAUAUUACUUGCAAGGUGAAAGAGAUGAAAGAAUACAUCAAAUACUAUUAUAUCUGUUCAAAGACAGAAAAAUCCCACCAGGGUAGCAGAGAUCUGGUCUAAGUCUCAGCAAGUUUAUUUAUAUUCCCUUCAAUGCAUUUGGUAUCUAGAAUAUGAAAAAUAUUCAUGGAAGGGCUUUGUCAAAGUUAUGGUAUUAUUUACAUGUCAAUUAUGACAAUUUAAUUCAUAGUUCCAUUGAACAGGUCACUUUUUUGUCAAGCGUCUACAAUUUCAGUUUAAUAAAUGUUUGCACAUUAUUUGAGAACAGUGGGUUAAAAAAGUGUUAUUUUCUGAGUACCUACACUCAUUGAGGAACUGUAAGGCUAUUCAGUGCCUUGUCCCUGGGAACUGGCUGUAAUCAUGGGCAGAUGCAGUAUUUUUUGGCAUUCUGAGGAAUUUCUGCACCUGCCUGUUCAGGAUCUAGCCCUGUCAGAAAGCCAUCCACCAUCACCUGGCCAUGGCAAGAUCUCUUUUCGUUGAAUCGUUGUCUCUUCUUUUAAAUAUUUAACAUGUGUGUGUGUUUUCCAUAUAAAUUUGGUAUUUAUUAUAUGCACUGAAACAUCAUUAUUUGUAAAAGGGUCUAUGGGAUAAGAAACUUGACGUGUUUUUGUUCUUGAUUUUAAAUAGCUUUCAGAAUCUUUUCUUCUGGUUACUUCAUAUCCCACCUGGCAGAAUAUUUUAGGAUUAUGAGUUUAAUUAAAACACGAUGCAACACCAUAUACUGCCUGUAACAAUUAACCUAAUCAGUUUCACAAUUGAUACCUUAUAAUUAUUUCUCUCAUGCUUAUAAUAUUCUUUCUGAAAGGCUAACUUAUCUUAUUUCUUUAACAUCAGACGUGAUGACACCCAAUUAGCAAGGGCUGAUUUAGUCAAGGAGUUAAAAACAAGUAAAGCAUCCUUUCAGGUGAGAGAAGUAAAUUUUUAAAGUAUAAAACAUGAGCUGAACACAAGCAGUAGAAUGUCCAGCACGCAUGGCGACGGAAACAUCAGUUUUCAGUGGAGUGAGGUCUAGUUUGUCGUAUACACAGGCACAGCAGCUUGAAGAUACUGAUACUGUAGUUGCUUAUGUCAAAAUUAGCCAAAACUACAAAGAAAUUCACUGCAUGUUCUCAGUUCCUCCCACAGCACAUGGACAGUGCCAGUUCCUGGACAAGCCACGUGUAGUGCUCUGAGCUCUCCCUCCCACAGUCUCAGGGAAAAGUGCUCUCCUGAGCCCAAAGCUUCAUUGUCCCCACCACAAAUUUCAGGAAGCAGACAUUUGCAAAGCUCCCUUGAAGUUGGGGCUUCCCCACCAUUCUUUUCCCCUUGCCUUUUCCUUCUAGUGGCCCAGGCAGUGGGGCUGGGGCGGGGGCUGGGGGGAGGAAGGGAGGCCAGUGGUCAUUUCCUUUUGCUGACCUCCUGAGGCCGGUUAACCCACAAGCCCAUGCCCCCCUUCAGGGAACAGCCUCCAGCCUUUUUUCUUCCUUCCUCCCCCAGUCAGGGGCUUACAUGGUGUCCUACUUUGGAAUAGGAAGAAUGGUAUUUAUAGCAUCAGUUCUUUGCCUCAUUUGACCUUAUCCACCAUGUUGCUGUUUGAGGCACUUUAUCAUUUAUUUCUCAUAACAAAGCCCCUCUCUCUAGUUGGGAGGUAGGUAAGUGAAAAAUCAAGGAGGUAACGUACUAAGAGGGGUGUCACAGCAGAAGUACAGAAUAGAGCCUCAGAAGCAAGGAUGCAGGAGGCAGUAACCUCGAGGCAGGCUGCCAGGGGAGACCCACCAGCCAUUUACUUUGAUGAGGUCUGUGAAUGGUGACAUGGUUUGCAUAAAAAGGGAAAGGGUAAGUAAUUAUCCUCACAUAAUAAAAGGGUGGCUUUCCUGAGGCAAAGUGAAUAUUAGAACUUGGUUCUUUGUAUAAAUUUAAAAGCAUUUCCUAAAUACUAAACCUGUGUUCUUGAAAAUGCUAGUGCUUGUGUCAAAGUAUGUGGAAGUGAAGAAAAGAGAAAAGGAAGUGAGAAGUGCAUGUGUGUGCAUUAUUAUUAGAGUCCAUGUUUUAUUUCAUGCAAUUGUAUUUGCCCUAUAGAUUUCAUUAUUUUUCACUAUUUACACAUAAAUUAAAGCACCUAUUUCUACAUUAUUAAUAUAUUUUGUUUAAAAAUCUCCUAUACUUUAUUUAAAUUUACCAUGGAUUAUAUCUACUAUGCAGACAAAUAUUAAAUAAUUUGAUAGAAACAGCUAAUGAGUCUGCUAUAAUAUUCCACUACAAAUUAAAAUUAAUAUACCACUAUUAAUGUAUCAAAAGUUGUAGAUGUUUAGCUUAUAUUGUGCACAGUAGGUUAAAAACCAUCCUGGUCACUCUGUGCUUCACCUCCAAUCUCAGAUACCAUAUUCAUGUUCCUAUCUUCCAAAUACAAGGCUGGUAUAUCAUGAAGGUGUCUAUUGAGGAGUCUUAUAAUAGAUCAGAAAGUAGGCUUUUGGCUUAUCCUGAUUCACAUGAGUCUUGUUGAAAUCCUAGUUCCUGGUUUAAACAGACAUUAACAUGUGAGACAUCCUAGGUGCGAGCACUUGACAUUGUCUACCCUUAUAUCCCCAGCAGCGGCAUAGAAUAGCCACCAAAAAUGCGUUAGGAAUUAAUGAAUUAACUUCCUUUUACUUCUGCACGAAGCAAACUAAUAAUUGAUCCUCUAUAAAUUUCCAUAUGUUUAUGUGUUUCACAGCAUUUUAUAGGUAAAAUUUAAGGACACAUUACAUGUCAGCCUCAUAUUUGCUUUACAUUUAUUUGCAUGUUUAAUGCUUCAUUUAACAUUUAUUUUUAUAAAAUAUAUGUAUUUACAAUUUUUUACAUUUUUAGGACAUUGAAAGUAGUAAGUGCUUAUUGUAAAAAAAUUUUUAGAGUUAUAAAGAUUAAUUUCCUGCUUAAUUUUAUUCCAGUUGAAUCUCGUACUCUCUUUCUCAACUCAAACUUGGUAACCAAUGGUAAAAAAUUGGUUUAUAUUUUUCAACUUAGGUGUGGAUGAUUAAUAACAUCUUAAAUAUUCGAUUAUCUAUCUAUCUAAUCUACUAUCCAUCCAUCUAUCCAUCUAUCUGUCUAUUAUGCAUCCAUUCAUCCAUCCAUUUAUCCAUCCAUCUACUAUCAUCUGUCUAUUAUCUGUCAUCUAUCUAUUGAUCUGUCUAUCUAUAUCAGCUAUAAUAUAUUAUUCAACCACCCAGUCAAUCUAUGCUCUCCCUAAUUUCAAAACUGUUUAGAGGCAAAUUUUCAAAUAAUGUGUGUAGUACAAUAAGAUAAGGCAUAGGAAAGUUAAGUCAAAGAGAAAACAAAGAUGGACAGUUAAGAAAUGAGCACAAAGAAGCUAGUGCCCUGGUGAGAUCCUACACAAUGACUAAAGAUGAAAACAAAUUUGCUUCUGAGCUCAGUAGCAUUCAAAGGCAAUAAAGGAUGUGCGCAGGUAUGAAGGAAAAGUUGGAGGGAUCCUGUGUGCUGAGUGCUUGGAUGUUUUCGGAAGUGCAAUGAAAGGGAAAGUCUAGUUGAUCUUGGCAAACUUAGAAUAUGUUUAAUUAAAUUUCUUUAAAAAAGCAAUAAAACUGGUGGACUGGAUUCCCUUGAACCACAUUCCCAGUGUCCAAAAGUAUGUAUUGAAUGAAAUGUCUGCUCCAGAAUCAUGAAAUAAAAAUGAAAGGUGACAUAUUUUCACAGCUCAUUUGAUGUGUUCUUAGUGCUAGCAGCUCUUUUACCUGUUUUACAAAUACUUGUUAAUGUCUUCUUUGUUCUUAUAUAUAAUCUUUUAAGGUUGGUCAGGACACCUUGUGCUUAAUCUUUGUACAUCAUCCACAGGUGCCACUGGGACAUCUGUGCAAAAACGCUCGGCUACAGUGCACGUCGGCAGGCAGACUAUGGCAGCAGUACUGGAGACUCAUUACCCCAGUGUCAUGGUUAAUGACGUCCCCACAGUGCUGAACAGAAAAGAUUUCAUACCCCACAUGUGAGGGGUGAAAUAUUGUAAAACCAAACCCCACCAAACAAACUGAAGCUCUCAAAGUGCACAGCUCGGCAAAAUUUACCUGCAUCACGUACAUCCUCAAGGUCAGUUAUAAUUCAACAGACUUUGAGAAAGAUUUGAAGCCUUUGAUGAAACACAUAUCCAAGAAAGGAAGGGUGCAUGUCUCUUGGCGCCAUAGCGGCUGCUCCCCCCAUAGGUUGUGACUGGCGUGACUUCAGUGCUGCAGCAGAUUAUCUGGAGGGACGUCCCUCUCUCUACCUCCGCUUUGAGGCUUUUCUCACCCCUUGAAAUGUUCAAGAUUCCCACAGGCUGCGGCAAUCCAAGGAAGCCCUCCUGACCCCAGCAUCCGCUGGGGAGACCAUUGGGAUGAGCUCAAGCCACAGGUUUCUGCUCCUCUCAGUUCAUAAUGGGGGGCCAGGGCUGGGAACCCUGGAAACCCCAUCUUCCUGAUGGAGAGCCUGCAGGAGCUGCUAUGGGUGGGGGACCUGGAUGUCCUCGCUGGCACCUUGGCCAGCUCCCCUCCUGGACCUUGUGGGUACCAUGUUUCUGGUUGACUUCUCUAUGCUAAGGCAGCUCCUGUUGGACCCAGGGCUGCAUGAACACUGACUCACAUCCGCCAUUCCUUUCCCUCUUAGCCUGGGAAUCUACACCCUUCUUCCCCUUUAGCCGCCUGACACAGAGGGUCUGAGUAUGAGGAAUUUCUGUUUUGGGUGCAUUGGUUUCAAAUGGAAUUUAAUAUUCAGUGAUUCAGGUGAGUUCCCUCCAAGGAGACUCCCUUAGUGGUCUCUGUGGUGCUCCCUUUCCUCUUUUUGGGGGAUGGAUCCAGGUUACGCCCUCAAUGGUCCUAGCACCUUUCCUGCUAGCAAACCCUGUCUCUGAGAGCAGUUAUGCCCUGGGAUCCAGCAGGAGCUGCCUUGGUCUCUGCCCUGGCUCUCCCAGGCUCUCCCAUGACCCACAUGAUGAGGGAUCAGCAGGGCCAGGGGAUGUACCUGGGCCCUGAAAUUCCCUGAUGGAUUGGACCUGGUUCUGGGGAUUCUGGGCCUCUUCCCGGGUUCCUUGGUUGAGGGACACAUCUGUUUAUUAGUGUAUACCCAGUAGGCACCUGCUGGCAGGGAUGGGCAGGUGGCUGGAGCUUCGAUGUGCCGCUGUGGGCAUUGACACAGGGGCUGGGUGAGGCCACACACCCGCUCUCCUGCAGGAAGCCACCACAUCCAGGGGCAGAGUACGAGGACACAGACAGCUCUCUGGGAAAAUAUGGGAUAUCUGGACAGUAAGAAAGUGUGUUUUAAAGGGCACUAGUUUCUAGAUCAUUCUGCUACACUGCUCCUUAACUUGAUUUUAACUUUAAGAUAUUUAGUGAUAUGACUUGUGCAUCUCCAUGUCUACCCUUGCCCAACCUUGCACGUUUUAUGAAAGGAUAUACAGACCCAUGCAAAUCACUGAUUUCCCAAAACACAUCUAUGGUAUACUUUGUGAUCUGGCCAGGCGUGAAGGAAUUAAUUGGCUGCAAGCUGUGGGCCAAGUGAAAAGAGCUAGGAUUUGGUGUUCAUCCACCUAUCGCGGGGAACAGACCCAACUGCUGAGGAUGGAAAAAUCUCAAGCCAGGCAGGCAAAAUUUAGUAAACCAGAAAUGAUGGUCUCAAAUGACAGGUGGGAUUCCAGGAAGCACUUAGUGUCAGAAAUGUCUCACAGAGUUUCCCAAUAGGCAAACUUGGGAACAAGGGCUAUUGAGAGAUGCAUCAGGUAGGGGAUAGUAAUAGACAAACUAGCCAGGAGAUAUCAGCACCCCAGCCCCAGAAUCCCAGUACAAGAAUUCCUGGUGAGAGGGUGGAAGUUGAGAGAGCAAUCAUAAAGAAACUGAAGUGCAGAGAAUAAUACGUGACUCACCUGCAGAACUUGAUGGUGGUGUGGGAGCAGCCUAAGAACAAAACCAUGACCAUUUACUACAUCUGGGCCACGAGGACCCGGGAGCGCUGACCGUUUACUGCAUCCGUGCCACGAGGACCCGGGAGCGCUGACCGUUUACUGCAUCCGGGCCACGAGGACCCGGGAGCGCUGACCGUUUACUGCAUCCGGGCCACGAGGACCCGGGAGCGCUGACCGUUUACUGCAUCCGGGCCACGAGGACCCGGGAGCGCUGACCACUUACUGCAUCGGGGCCCCGGGAGCGCUGACCACUUACUGCAUCCGGGCCACGAGGACCCGGGAGCGCUGACCGUUUACUGCAUCCGGGCCACGAGGACCCGGGAGCGCUGACCGUUUACUGCAUCCGGGCCACGAGGACCCGGGAGCGCUGACCGUUUACUGCAUCCGGGCCACGAGGACCCGGGAGCGCUGACCGUUUACUGCAUCCGGGCCACGAGGACCCGGGAGCGCUGACCGUUUACUGCAUCCGGGCCACGAGGACCCGGGAGCGCUGACCGUUUACUGCAUCCGGGCCACGAGGACUAAGGAGCACUGCCAACAGAGAGUGAUUCCCUGAGCAUGGACCCGGCUUCCCCAUCUCACCUGGGAUGCGAAUGGUUCCAGACCCUGAGCACAUACCUGGAUGAGAAUGGUUUUUAUUUUGGAGAGAGGAGCAUUUUUAGGGCAGGGAGAACAGAUAUUUAAAGGAAAAGUUGACUGAUGUUCUUUCAAUUCCUCCACAUUAUGAAGACUGAUUCCAGUUUAAGGAGAAUUCUAGGAAUCUUCCUUCAACUUUCUGGUCCUGAAAGACCAGGUCCAUAAAAUGAUGUGGUUGGAGCAGAUAAUCUGCAGCAGCUCUGGUGUGCCUGAAACUGUCAGCAGUUAAACCGCUCCUGUUCCUUUUUGAGAUCUUAAUCAGAAAUGAAUAUGCAUCAAAGAGACCCCAGAGCGAGACCCUCUUCCGUGUUAUUUCUACUGAAUGAGAGGCAGGAACUGCAUUAGUGUUUUGCAUGUCGUGAACUAUGGCCAUGAGACUAGAGUCCCCAGGAUGACACUCCACCAUCUGACUCAUGCUGAGGGCUCACACUGGCCCCUGAUAUUAUUUCUGAAGCCCUAACACUGAACGUAAAAACCUGGGAGAGAACUGUACGGAAGGACCCCAGGAUGCUGAUAGCCCCCAUGGAACAGGGCUUCGUGGAUUCAGGCGUCAGAAUCAAGCCUAGAGAGAGGAGAUGUUUACCGCUCAUGGCAGAGUGAGGCCUCGCGGUGAAUGGAAAGCAUGGCUGGGCACAGGGGUGGUCCUGAUGGAGGGGCCAGAGGCUGAUGAUGGCGUGGAGGCCCUGACACAGGGCAGCCCCGCCAGCCUCUGCAUGGCCGGGGGAGUUACACCCUUGAGGACGGGUUCCAAGAAUAAAAUGUGUAGUAUGCAGAAGACAACAGGGCCUUUGUGUGGAAAGGCAUCGGCGAAUUAACACCAAUGGUGGAGAGCAGGCAGUAGGGAAGCGGCCGCGUUGGGCGCUGUUCCCCACCCCAUCUGGUCUGGCUUGCACGGCCAGGGCAGCGCAGGCGUCGGCCUCCUGUUUCUCUGCUGCCAUGAUCCUGUUUCUACCCCCAUAGCUCUUACCUGGCCCCUGUAUCCAAGCCUUCCUCGGGUACUGCCCUGGCCAGGAGAGAAGGAAGCACCCAGCCUGCUGGUCGGUGUUCCGCUGAAGCAUUGUAUGAGUCCGGGUUCUCUAGAGGGACAGGACUGAUAGGAUAGGUGUAUACACGAAGGGGAGUUUAUUAAGGAGAAUUGACUCAUGAUCACUAGGUGAGGUCCCACAAUAGGCCGUCUGCAAGCUGAGGAGCCUGGAAGCCAGUCCGAGUCCCAAAACCUUAGAGAUAGGGAAGCCGGCAGUGCAGCCUUCGGUCUGUGGCCAAAGGCCUGAGAGCCCCGGGCAAACCACUGGUGUGAGUCCAAGAGUCCAAAAGCUGAAGAACUUGGAGUCUGAUGUUCAAGGGCAGGAGGCAUCCAGCAUGGGAGAAACAUGGAGGCCGGAAGACUCAGUCAGUCCAGUCCUUCCACCUUCCUCUGCCUGCUUUUAUCCUAGCCGUGCUGGCAGCCGAAUAGAUGGUGCCCACCCAGACUGAGGGUGGGUCUGCCUCUCCCAGCCCACUGACUCCAGUGUUAAUCUCCUUUGGCAACACACUCACAGACACACCCAGGACAAUACUUUGCAUCCUUCAAUCCAAUCAGGUUGACACUCAACAUUAACUAUCACGAGCAUGUUCUGUGGAGGGCAGAAGCUCCCAUUGGUUGGGUCAGAGGCUGCUGCAGCCACAGAGGCUGGUGGGGGCCGCCAUGCGGCCCUCAUGUGUGUAUGUGGGGACAAUUGGGCAGCCUCUGUUUGCUCGCCCUACUCACAAUCUGAGUGUGCAGUUUACCACCAAGUAUGGGUCAAAAUCCCAGGAUUACAGUUGGACUUUGUUUAAUUUAAAAGACUUGUUUUAUUGGUCAGAGUUCCCCAGAGAAACAGAACCAAUAGGAUCUGUAUCUCUAUGUAUGUCUAUAUCUACACCUAUGUUUGUCUGUAUCUAUAUCUAUCUGUGUCUUUAUCUAUACCUCUCUGUAUCUAUGUAUCAAUAUCUAGAUCUAUCUGUGUCUGUAUCUAGACCUAUCUGUGUAUCUGUAUCUAUUUGUGUCUAUAUCUACACCUAUCUGUAUCUAUAGCUAUCUGUGUCUCCAUCUAUGCCUAUCUGUAUCUAUAUCUAUACCUAUCUGUGUCUAUAUCUUACCUGUCUAUCUAUAUCUAUCUCUAUCUGUAUCUAUCUCUAUCUAUCUGUGUCUGUAGCUAUACCUAUCUGUAUCUAUAUCUAUAUCUAUCUUUAUCUAUAUCUAUCUAUCUUUAUCUAUAUCUAUACCUGUUUGUAUCUAUAUCUACACCUGUCUGUAUCUGUAUCUAUCUCUGUCUGCAUCGAUACCUAUCUGUAUCUGUAUCUAUAUCUAUACCUAUCUGUAUAUCUAUUUAUAACUAUCUGUAUCUAUGCCUAUUAUCUGUAUCUUUAUCUAUACCUAUCUGUAUCUGUAUCUAUAUAUCUAAAGAGAUUUAUUGCAAGGAAUUGGCUCACCUGAUUAUGGAGGCUGACACAUCCUGAGACCUGCAGUCAAUGGGCUGGAGACUGGGGAGGUGAAGGUGUGAGUUUCAGUCUGAAGGCUGGCAGGCACCAGACCCAGGAAGAGCCAACACUUCAGUUCAAAUCAAAAGGCAGAAAAGCCCCAGUGUCCCAGCUCACAGUAUCAAGUAGGAGGAAUUCCCUGGCUGGCUCUGGGGUUGCACAAGCAGCUUAUUCAUUGGGAUUUGCUUUGUUUUAUUUUUAAAUUAAUUUUUUUUUUGAGACAGCGUCUUACUCUGUCAUCCAAACUGGAGUGCAGUGGCACAAUCUUGGCUCAAUGCAGCCUCGGCUUCCUGGGCUCAAGUGAUCCCUCUGCCUCAGCCUCCCAAGUUGCUGGGACCACAGGCACCUGCCUUUAUGCCCUUCUUGUGCUGGGAUUUCGGGUGUGAGCCUCCGCACCGGCCCUGUUUCUCACGAUGGGAUUUCAGCUAUGAGCCUCCAUGCCUGGCCCUGUUUCUCACGCUGGGAUUUUGGGUGUGAGUCCCCUUGCCCGGCCCUGUUUCUUGUGCUGCGAUUUCGGGUGUAAGCCCCGGCGCCCAGCCCUGUUUCUUGUGCUGGGAUUUCGGGUCUGAGCCCCUGCACCUGGCCUUGUUUCUCUGGCUGCCUCCCUUUCUCAGACUCCUGUAGUGGUGUUUCCUUCCAACACCUGUGUUUUACAGCAUGUGGGUUUUUUUCUCCUCUCUGCCAUCAAUAUGCAAAGUGCUGAGGUUGCACUCUUAAGCCCUGUGAAAAGGACUUUGCUAUUGUUACUGGACAAUUUUUCUUCAUGAUACUUCCAGUUUCUUGGAAAUCGGUAGGUUCUUUUCCUCACCCAACUGGGGUUUUCCGUUUCUGUCUCCUGGAUCUAGAUGGCUCUGCUCUUUCAUCAGCAGAGAGCGCUGGUUUCCGAGCCUUCAGAGGGGACUGUUUUAGAGCCUCCAGCUCUGUCGUGUGGCUGUGCCAGUAACCCAGGAAAGGCUUACACCCUAGUAUAGUAAUAGAACACGGAUCCAUUAUGUGUCUCACUACACAUGCAUUAACGACUGGAAAAUCCAAAGGCAUUUUACAUAAUCUGAAGUUCAGUCAAGUCAGCGGAGUGUUUGAGAAGAGGAAGGCGACUUCCUGACGCCUGUCAUGAUAUGAACCAAGUAGUUUCAUCCGGAGUGGAAUCUGGCUUGGUUCUGGCCUUUUAAUUUUUGCAAGCCAGACCACUAGUAUACCUAACUAUAACCCUGCAUGUAAUUUUUGGCUGAAUGGAUGGUUUCUGGUGCAGUAAUAUAUGAGUUUCUCUCAAUAUGCACUGUCUAUUCUGUGAGAAUGUUAAAGUAUCUGAAUUUCAAAAGCACGUGCAGAGGUACAAGGGCCGCGCCUGUGAGAACACCGAGCAACGCUGCAUGAUGGCUGGAGGCUGGGGAGCCACUUUCCUUCCCUCACGCAUCCGCCUCCACGCAAGCCUGCUCUCCGCCGUGGGAAAUCAGACAGCUGGGCUGACAACCUGCAUUCGGGAUGCAGUGGAGGUGAUGGACAGCCGGCCCCGGGAGGGGUGAAUACUCUGUCCACUCCGCCCCCAGGCCAGAGCCUCGCAUGGUGAUGAAUAGAGUUGUACUGACGUGGAAAAUCAGAUACUCAGCACCUGUCCUUCAAGACAGAUAGGGGAAAAGCUGAGGAAACAGAAAAAAAAAAAAAUGGAAAAGAAGAAGUGGUCAAGAAAGGGCUGCAAACACACAAAGAGAUGAUUUUUUAAAGAGAAAAGGAAAAUAACAAACCAGAUGCUGACAUGGUACUCCAGUUCCAAUAUCCUAUUUAUUAUCAUACAUUCAACUCCUCAGGUAUUUAAUGACAAGCUACUCAGAGCUUGUCUCAGAGCACCAGGAAUUCUGAGUCACAUUCGGGGUGUAAAGCGGGGCCCUGCAUUCAGGGAGCUGAGUCUGACUGGGAACUGGAAAGGCUCCCCUACCUCCCAUGGCCGUCUGUGAGCUUCACCUGUGAGUGGCAGGUGUGCGUGGAGUCAGUUCCCCUCCAUGCCCGCCUGCAUUCCUACCCGGAGACCUCUGGCUGCGAUGGGAAUUCCCCUGCUGUUCUCAUUAUUGCAGGUUUUUCUUCCGUAUUUCUGAACCCCUCAUAUCUCAGGGAAGGAAAUCCAGGGAGAAGUAUCUGUUGCGUCCCCAUCUGUUGCAUUUUCUGAGUCUCCACGUUAAUGAAAGAGCAGCCAUCCAGUUUCCUUCGGUGCCGAGAGUCCUCGGGACCUGUCAUUGUUCUAAAGGACAGAGGACACCGUGCAGAUGUGACGUCUGUCGCCAUUUCUCAGUCUCCUCUUAGCAAACUUUAAAGCCCGGAAAACCUUCUAUUUUCAAAGUAGGAAAAUUAGAUUACAGCAAAGCCAUAACCCUGUAUCUCUCCUAACCUUGCUCCCUAAUCAGGAAUAAAAGGGAAAUUAUCUGAAGAAUUAUCUAAUAUGUUCUUCAUCAGGAGAUCGUAAUUAAAUCAUAAUUGCCAUCCGGCAGCAAAAUGUGAUGAAAUUACCAGGGCAAACUAUUAAUUACUUCAAAGAUCCAUUUUAAUCGUAAACAGUUUAAUAUACCUCUAUAAAAAUUGCCAUCAGGCAGGCGCUUAAUGAGGGUGCUGUGAAGGCUCUGCUGUCCUUGGUGACUGGAGGAUGUUUUCACGAGAUCUUCACGGUUAUUUUCCAUUUCCAGUUCCUUAGGCCUGGCUCUUAUAUUCUCUAAUACUAUGGGGAGUAGAAAUUUCUGCAUCCUCCUGGGUGGAGUGUGUGAGUGUGUGCAUACAUAUGUGUUUAUAUGUGUGUGUGUGCACUGUGUAGGUGAUAUGCGUGUGUGUGCGUGCAUGUGUAUGUGUGUAUAUGUAUGAGUGUGUGCUAGUGUGUGUGCAUAUGUAUAUGCAUGGGAAUGUGUGUAUGUGUGUGCAUAUGUAUAGGUGUGUGUGCAUGUGUAGGUAUGCAUGUGUGUACAUAUGUGCGCAUAUGUACUUGUGUGUAUGUGUGUGCAUGCGUGUGUGCAUAUGUAUAGGUGUGUCUCUGCAUGUGUAUGUGCGUAUGCAUGUGUGUUUAUAUGAGUGCAUGUGCAUUGUGUACAUAGGUACAUGUAUGUGUGUCCAUGUGCAUGCUGUAUUUAUGUGUACAUGUUAUGCAAUGUGCAGGUGUGUAUGUGUGUACAUAUGUACAUGUAUGUGUGUAGAUGUGCAUGUGUAUAUUUGCAGGUAUGUAUGUAUAUGUGUACAUAUGUACAUGUGUUUAUGUCUAUGUGUGUGCAUGUGUGUCUGUGUGUAUGAGUAUAUACAUGUGCAUGUAUGUUUGUGUACAUAUGUACAUAUGUGCUCACAUGUGUUUGUGUCUGUGUGCAUGUUGUUUGUGUGCAGGUGGGCCGUUGCUUUGUAGUUUUGUGGGGGCUAAACAAAGGAUGUGCAUGAUGCUGUGCAUGUGUGCAUGUGUAUAUGUGUGCAUGUGUGUUUGUGUACAUAUGUACAUGUAUGUGUGUGCAUGUUUUUUGUGUGCAGGUGGGCCGUUGCUUUGUAGUUUUGUGGGGGCUAAACAAAGGAUGUGCAUGAUGCUGUGCAUGUGUGCAUGUGUAUAUGUGUGCAUGUGUGUUUGUGUACAUAUGUACAUGUAUGUGUGUGCAUGUGUUUGUGUCUCUGUGUGUAUGUUCUGUGUGUGCAUUCACGUGUAUAUGUGUGCAUGUGUGUUUGUGUGCGUAUGUAUGUGUAUUUGCUACGAGUGGUAUCUUGAAGAAAGGGGAUGGUGAGGAUGAAAGGGAAGAGUUUGUGUUCGCAGCCACACAUAAACUCACAGAAGAGCUUUUGAUGGGGCACAGUAAAUUUUGGAAUUAGGUAUGAGGAAGCGUCUUUGCGUCAUUCUUAGUUCUUUGAGAUAUUUUUCAUUUAAAUGAAAAUGCAUACCUUUUUCUAGAUCUUGAUGCAAAGAGUUGCAUCAAAGUGGAGCUUGUGAGUAAGAAUGCAGAUAGAAAAUCAUGGGAAUUAUUCACGUGGAUGACCUGAUUUUAUUCUAGUCUUACUUAUGAAGUCUUCUUCCUGCUCCACAACGAUUCAAGAGACAGGAAACAAACUUUUAAAAUUACAUAAAUAAACGGGCCAAGGGGAAAUACAAGAGGACAAGCAAAGACAGACACAGCUCGGCACUGCGCUCGUGGCUCAUCUCUCCAUGGACGCCAAAUUCAAACCUGUUGGCAACUCAUCACGUUGGACUGAUGGCACAAAGGUUCUUGGGAAAUAGAAUCAUGUUCAGCAUCAAGUAGGAAAAAAAUCACAAGUACUUGCAGACAAGCCAAUCAAAAUUGAAGGAAAAAUAGAAUCAGCACCUAGUGUAAAUUAACUUCAGAAAUAUGCAGUCAGGACUGUCCUUGUGGACUUGCAUUCUAGCUUCUGAGCUGAAAUUUGUGUCAUUAAACUGAUAUCUAGAUGAUGUACAUUUCUUGACUUAAUACAAUUCAAAAAAAUUGAAACAAAUUACAUCAACACAGUGGCUAUCAUUUCCCCCUUGUAAAUGGCAUAGUACCAGUCUAUACAAUUUUGAAUGUUGUCUUUCUGUUGACUGUUAGUUACUUUAGACUACAAAUCUCAGAACAUUUAAAUAAUGAUUUGUUAAAUUACUCUAAACCUAAUUAUUUUAUAUUUACUCGCACAAUCCCCUCUGUUGGUUCUGAAAUGAACAAACUAUUCAAAGGAGUGCAGAGCCAGUGGGUGUAGAGAGUUAUGUUUUAUUAAUUGGAAGCAUUCUAACAGUAACCAUAUUGACUGAUCACAUGCCCAAUAUUCUCUUUUUGACCAAUUUUGCUGCUGUCAAGAAAAGAAGGAUAAUAUUAUACAGUAAUUCAGAGCUAAUAAUUUAUCAGUUCCACUAUUUUGUAGGUAUUAAUAUCAAAAGCUGGUUGUUGGAAAGUCGAACAAUGUAGCAAGGGCUCCCAGGCGUGCCAUUUCUAUCUUCCUGUGUGUGAUUGGAUCUCAUCUCUACAAUGUGUUCUGUGCUGUGUGGGAAAGUUACACAAUCCCACUGGUUGCGGGGUUCUGGGGGUCAGUUGAUUAACAGGGUGCUGAAAAUGAGAUCGUUCCACCACACUGCAGGCAGGAAGAAGCAUUUGUCAUCCCAGAUGAUUUUCUGAAAUACUUGGCAGCAUUGUCAACUCCAGAGUGGAAAGCAAUGAACAACUCCUUUCAGGCAGCACCUCCCAGGGCUCAAGAGGAGACCUUUAGUCCCACUUACCAGGUAACAAUUGCCAGCCCAGCUGCUGGAUGAGGAUAAAGGAGGCAUAGCUGGUAAAAGAGUAAGAAGUCAAAAACCAGAUCUAAGCUGGGAACUUGCAGCAGAAACUGACUGUAGCAAACGCGUGUUUUCUUCUGUGAUGUGUGUGUGCACUUGCCACUCAUCUGUGUCCAAAUCCUCCCUUCUCCUGCCAGAUCUGGGCUUCCCUCUUCCUGCUGAGCUCUGUGCCCUGCAGGGCUGAUCUCCUGGUGCAGCAUUGGAGGGGUCCCCUCGGUGGUCUGGUCCUUAUCAGGUUCUGCCACCCGAAGGCUCUGGCAGAACCCAAGAGGGAGGGAGGGCAAAGGAUCAGACGGGGAUGCCCAGAUCUUUGGCUCCGGCUGUGGGUUGGUGGUGCUGCACUUCCCAUGCAUGGGCGUGGCUUUGCUCAGGAGCCUUUCGUGCGGUCUGUGUCUCCCUUGCCACUCUUGCCCAGGUAGUCAUGGUUCCUAAUGCGGGGCUCUGCUCUGCCCCUCAGUGGAUGCCCUUGACCCCUCCCCCCGCCGUGGCUUUUCCCAGAGCCCGUCCUCACACCUGCCUGAGCCCCUUCUCCGAGGGCACCUGUUUCCUGCCAGGACCUGGGCUGUGGUCCAUGAUCCCUCACUUCCUACUGCGCCGGGGUGCACGGCUGUGGCCGGGGUGCACGGCUUGCCCCUAG